AGUUUCUUAACCAUGUAGGAUAUACGAUUACAAAAUGCCUAAAAACGAAAAGUUAAAUAUUUUGAUGACUUGUCACUUUCUAUUUUUAGUGGACAUGAAAUGAAAGGUAUCAUUAACUCUUAGCAAAACAAGGAUUAGGAUGUUUAGUACCCAUGGUAACUUAUCAAAACUGCAAUAUCACAGAUAAAUCGGCACAAUACAAGGGUAUAACAGACAGCUGUAUACCACACUUUUAAGAUGUAUUGCUCCACAGUAUAUGACAUUUUAGUCCAAUGCAUUUUGGUUUGGGUUUAUAUGCAACCUUGCAUUAUGUUACUUGGACACUCCAUUUUUAAGUUGUUUGGAAGUGUCAACACUUUUGGGUGCUUGUGCAUAGCAUGACACAGCAUGACAUGGUUGGAGACUUGUAAGGUGUCCUAUUGAUGUUAGCACAACGUAUCUGAUAGUGUCAUGCUGGAGACUUGUACUUUUAAAUGCUGGACACUUCAAGUGAUAUGUCUUGAAGGUUUUCUGAACACUUUAAGCUAAUUUUUUUUGUGUUUUGUGUAAAGUUUUCACGUAUAUAGACACUUUAAGCAAAGUGUUGUUAUAUAUUUGAUUUUGAUAUAAUGUUAUCACAGUUACAAACACUUUAAGUGAAAUGUAAUUUUGUUUUAAAUAUAAAUGUAUCAUGGUUAGUUGUCAGUUUAAGUAUCUCAACAUAUCUUAAAUAACUUUACAUAAACCUAGUGAAUAGAUUAAACAAUUUGCAAACUCAUGGACGUUCCAUUGAAUUUAUUUGUAGAUUGCUUCUACUGAUAUAAGUUUCUCUGUUCUUAAAUAAGUAUCAAAAUGUACAAGCAUAUACUUGUACAUAUAUAAAUGUAAUAUCUCUCUCUCUCUUUCUCUGUAUGUGUGCAUGCAUGCCAU
rnacentral:lncRNA from 1 species